rnacentral:tRNA from 1 species
GCGCCGGGGGUGUAAGGCGAAGCAUCGCCGCCCAGAAAGCAGAAGGGGCGGGUUCGAGUCCCGCCUGGUGCA